CGAGCGUUAUCCCGGAAUUAUUGGGUUUAAARGGGUGCGUAGGCGGAAUGGUAAGUCAGCGGUGAAAUACUGCAGCUCAACUGUAGUUGUGCCGUUGAUACUGUCAUUCUUGAGUAUAGAUGAGGUAGGCGGAAUGAGUAGUGUAGCGGUGAAAUGCAUAGAUAUUACUCAGAACACCGAUUGCGGAAGGCAGCUUACUAAACUAUAACUGACCGCUGAAGCACGAAAGCGUGGGUAUCAAACAGGAUUAGAUACCCUGKUAGUCCCACGCUGUAAACGAUGAUU
rnacentral:rRNA from 1 species